AAGCAGAGCAGAGCAAAAGCUCCGUCUCCCUUAUAAAAUCAAAUCUCUCACUAUGCCAAAAAUCCUUGCCUCAUGAUCUCCCUCCUCAGAACCAAGCUGCCAUUAUCACCGCAACCCCUCCAGAAAGCGCCAUUCCUUUCACUCAUGGAUUCUUGUGGAUCAAACACAAACAGGCUCAUCACUUUAGCCCAGCAACUCCGCCUCUACAAGCCACCGUCCCCAUCACCAGACGAAAUUGAAGAGCAAACCAUUGAGGAAACUGCUGGGAAAGUUGUCUCCCAGCUGGGU
rnacentral:misc_RNA from 1 species